rnacentral:RNase_P_RNA from 1 species
CGAGAAGGGCAGGGGAUCGCCGGCGCGUUCGCGCGCGGGAGGCAAAGUCCGGGCUCCACAGGGCAGGAUGCCGGGUAACACCCGGUCGGGGCGACCCGAAGGAAAGUGCAACAGAGAGCAGACCGCCAUUCCGGUCUUCGGUCCGGCAUCCGGCGCCCUCCGUUCGCGGCGGGCACCGGCGAGGGUCACACCUCGGGUCAGGGUGAAAGGGUGCGGUAAGAGCGCACCGGCGCUCCCGGUAACGGGAGCGGCCAGGUAAACCCCAUCCGGAGCAAGACCGACAGGGGGAAGGCGGCCCGUCCAUGCCCCCGGGUGUGUUGCUGGAGGCUGUCGGCGACGGCAGCCCUAGAUGAAUGAUUCCCGCCCUGUCGCGGGUGACCGCGGCGGGGACCAGGACCCGGCUUACGCGCUUCUCGGACC